CUCAACCCUCAACAAGUCACGAAAUCCCAGUGACACCAGGGACAAGCCGUGUCUUCGUGCCUCAACCCUCAACAAGUCACGAAAUCCCAGUGACACCAGGGACAAGCCGUGUCUUCGCGCCUCAACCCUCA